rnacentral:rRNA from 1 species
GCGACCCCAGGAUGGGCAGAGCCACCCGCCG